CUGUCACACGUGUACAUUAUCUGAACUAGUGGAUGUUUAUGAGGAAAGUAUUACCUUUAAGACUAUCCAUCUAAAGCAUUUUCUUCCCCCUCCUUAAAAGAUAAAACAGAUACACAGGCCAAGAGAUGAUUGCAAAAGACACAGUAGUUGCAAAACUCCAGUGUCAUGACCUUGAUGAACCUCCUGAUACAAUACAUUAUGCUCUGAGCUUGCGGCCAAUUGGUUCUGGAAAACUCUUUGAGCAAGUGCCAACUGCUGGAAAUUUCAUCCAGGUUGUAAAAGAAUUGGAUUAUGAGGACCCAGACAUAGUUCCAGCUGGCCAUAUCUAUGAAAUGACAAUUUCAGUAUUUGAUGACUUACAUCCCUUCCGUACAGGUAAGCUUGAUAAAUUUCAUGGAACAUUAAGUGUCUUUUCUUUAGACUGUGCACUUUAGAUUUUAAAAUGUAAAACUUCAUUAUAUUGGGGACAGUUUCGUUAAACUAGACAAAGGAGAAAGGGGAGACUUAGAUUCAUGUUGGAAGUUAUCAUUAGGUCUGCGAGUGUUGUUCAUCUCUUAGCACACCUUAUGCAAAACACAAUUCUUAAAUGCAAGUCUGGCUAGAGAUCCUUGGAGCUGGAAGUGGGAUGUGUUAGGGACACAGAGAGCCCAAUCCUAAUGCUUGUUACUGAAACGAUUUUCUGUCAGUAGUGUCUCCACUUCAGACUGGGGGACUUACACGUAACAGAAAAUUUUUUCUCACUCUUCUGGAGCCUGGCAAGUCCAUAUCAAGGCACUGUCAGACUUGAUGUCUAUAGAGGGUCUGCAUCCUGCUCUUAGAUGUUUGUCUUCUCACCGUGACUUCACAUGGAAGAAUAGGCAAGAGGCACUCUCUGGGGUGUCUUUUUAAGAGCAUUAAUCCCAUCAUGAGGGUUCCACCCUUAUGACAUGUCAUCAUACCAAAGACCCUCUCCAUCCUAAUACCAUCACAGCGGGAGAAUAGGUUUUAGUAUAUAAAUUUUGGAGGAACAUAAACAUUCAGUUCAUAGCAUUUAGUAAUGCCAAAUACCUCUUAUUUGGAAAGAGCCAGAUAUUGGGUCACGUGUAGUCCACACAUAUGAGUAAUAGGAUUUUUUUUGGGGGGGGGAGUUGCCUGUAUCAUUAUUUUACGUGAUACAGGUAGAGCCAUUUUUAAUGCAAACGGUGGGACAGUGCCAGAUUCCACAGCUCAUUCCCUUUGUGAGUCCCUUGACAUUUGUGGAUUUAAGAGUCCUGGUUUUGCUAAUUGUAAAACACCCUCGGGCACAGAUUUAAAUUGUGUGCUGUGGAGCCAGAGCAGAGUGCCUAGCUGGUGAAAUAAGCUUAGCCAAUCACCAGACACCUGCUUCUCUGCUAAUUGUUGUACAAAUGAGAACAUGCAUUAAGUGGCUCAAUAGGUCAUUUAUGUGUUCAACAACAUGUUAUCACAUUUAAGAGUGAAUUAGUAUCUGUAGAGGUAGUUGUGAAAAUAAGGUUGCACAAAUUUCCAGAUAUGUCUAUUAUUAAUGACAGCCGUCUAUUUUAUAUGGAAAGUAUGGUAAUAAGUGAUCUAGGAGGUGGGUUGGCAUCAAAGAUGUCCAAAAAGAAGUGAGUGUUUGGGUGGAGAACACAGGGUUACUAGUAGAAUGAGAGCCUGGAACAUGGACAGUGCUUGUGUUUCAUGUUUUAUGUCUUGUGCCAUCUCUAAGCAAUUGGUGGUGGUCGCCUGGAUCAUUGAAUUGAGAAGGAUUCUGAGGUUGCCUCUGAAAGCAGUGCAAAGAGCACUGUGUUAUGGAAUUAAGCAGGUGGCAUCAUGGCAGCAUCCAUAUGUUUUGCAACCAAAAAAAAUUUAUUGCUGAACGUUCAGCAACAGGUCUAGAGCUCUUUUAAUCCCUCUUGACUCUCUGAUGUAAGAGUUUUAAUAGGAUUCCUUUUACAAAUGUCAUUUGUAGACUUACGUGAUCCAACUAUGCAGAUAAAUGAUCUGUACAGGACAGAGACACAGCAUGACAGUAUGCCCACAAGUUUUCUUAGGUCUUCUCUGCUCCCCACUGGUGGAGUUUCAUUGGUUCAUGCAAAAGCCUGUAACAUAGCCCAACAAACCUUUUAGGAAAAAUGCUUUUUCUUGUAGUUACUCAUCCUGAUGGCCUCACAAAUCAAAAUAGAAUCUGCCCUUUUCACCAGAGUUGAGCCUUUUUCCAAGAAGAAGAGAAAAAAAAAAAUCUCUCAUGGUAAUAAAUCCACAUCUUCUCUGGUCCCCA
ensembl:lncRNA